rnacentral:rRNA from 1 species
UAUGAAGGGGGCUAGCGUUGCUCGGAAUCACUGGGCGUAAAGCGCACGUAGGCGGAUUGCUAAGUCAGGGGUGAAAUCCUGGAGCUCAACUCCAGAACUGCCCUUGAUACUGGCGGUCUCGAGUCCGGGAGAGGUGAGUGGAACUGCGAGUGUAGAGGUGAAAUUCGUAGAUAUUCGGAAGAACACCAGUGGCGAAGGCGACACACUGGGCCAUUACUGACGCUGAGGCUCGAAAGCGUGGGGAGCAAACAGG